AAGUAUUGUGCGAACAAUCUGUGAGCACUUUUCAGAACAAUGGGCAACUGACAGGAGGCAACUUUUGGCUCCAGAAAAAAUGGGAAGUUUGAAUAGAAGAUGUGGUUAUAUGGUGCAGUGUUCAAAGGAACUACCUGGAAAAC